rnacentral:piRNA from 1 species
UGUCAGACGUUGGCCAUUUGGUUA